AAGCCAAAGGAUGCAAAAUGCAAAGAGAAAAAUUGGUUCGGGAACUACGUGUGCAGUAGUUGGCUGUAAAAACUCUAGAAAACACCUGAAGGAGUGGUUAGAUAGAGAGUGCUUUGACCAUAGACCAGCCACGAAAAGGGAAUGUUCAUGCCCUCCAUUGUUUAGUUUUUUUCGCAAGCCUGAUACCGACUCGGAAUCACAGGCCUGGCUUAGGGCAUUGAACUUAAAGUAUCCACCCCGGACAUUUUUUGUGUGUUCCCAUCACUUUGUGGACAAAAAACCAACCAAGAAUAAUCCGUUUCCAGAGUUGUGGUUGGGAUGCACUGACUUUACCCAGCCAAAGAGGAGUCAUGUCUCUGCCUCAAAGAAGCGCAAACUUCGGUGUGAUGAUGCUCCCGAAACAUAUCGACGGGCCUGUGAGGUACUGCGUGCCACACUAAAAUCCCGGGAUGUCCAUACCGAGUGGGAGGAUCUGACACUGACUGACCAUGCAUACUGUUCAACGACCACACAUACUGACCACGCAUACUGUUCAACAACACAGUCUGUUGAAGUAGAUAAGGCCACACCGUGCAAGAAUCCUACUGUGACUAGCACCACAGUCAUUGAUGAUUCUAGCUCUCAGCUGUAUACAGGAGUGCGCAUGACUCAAUUUUUCACCAUGGUGACGGUGUUGUUGCCAUUCAGUAAACCAUCAAUUACCCUUCCUCUUGUUGACCAAAUCCUGAUGACCUUGAUGAAGCUAAAACUAAACCUAGUAUUAGAAGAUAUAUCUCACCGUUUCAAAGUGUCUACAUGCAUGGCGAGCUUUGUGAUCAGUCACUGGAUUGGAGUGAUGGGCGAACAGUUCAAAGAUCCCCUGAUCCCCUGGCUUCCAAGACAGACCAUUCGUGCCACCAUGCCCUUAGCGUUUCGGAGGCUCUACCCUCGAACCACCUGCUUCAUUGAGUGUGCCGAAAGUGCUAUGCAGACAGCCACAAACCAAGAUUCAAGGAGUGAGACUUCCAGUGAGUAUAAAUCACGCAGCACUGUGAAAUAUCUUGUCGCUGUGGCCCCUAAUGGGGUGAUCAUGUUCAUAUCUGAUGCAUAUGCUGGCAGCAGCAGCAAUACGUUUAUCACUAGGGAUAGUGGGUUUCUAGGCUGUCUUAGGGCUGGUGAUGAGGUCAUGGCGGGCCAGGGGUUCACCAUUCGAGACCUGCUUACUGAACGAACGGUCCGUUUGAACAUCCCUGCAUUCACCGACGGGUGCAAUCAGUUGACCAAUGAGGAGAUGACACCCACCAGGCAUGUAGCCAAUGUCCGAAUACACGUGGAAAGAGCGAUCCAGAGACUGAAGGUCUUUAAGAUUUUAUCCCAGACCGUUCCCAUCAGCAUGGCACAUAACCUGGACAACAUCUUGACCAUCUGUGCUGGCCUAGUUAACCUGGAAAGUCCUCUGGUAAAAAUGCCUCAAGAGUUGUAGAAUCUUGCUUUGUGUCCCUGUGUGUGUAGUAUAAUUUGUUAAUAUUCCAAAUGAUUGUUAAAGUGAUGUCAUCCUGUGGGCUUGUAUAGUAUUUCACUUUUUGUACCUGUUAUUAUUAAAUGCAUGAUCUUUAUCGUUUAA